rnacentral:rRNA from 1 species
GGCUCAUCUCAUCCUGGGGCUGUAGCCGGUCCCAAGGGUAUGGCUGUUCGCCAUUUAAAGAGGUACGUGAGCUGGGUUUAAAACGUCGUGAGACAGUUUGGUCCCUAUCUGCCGUGGGCGCUGGAAGUUUGAGGGGGCCUGCUCCUAGUACGAGAGGACCGGAGUGGACAUACCUCUGGUGUACCGGUUGUGACGCCAGUCGCAUCGCCGGGUAGCUAUGUAUGGAAGAGAUAAACGCUGAAAGCAUCUAAGCGUGAAACUCGCCUCAAGAUGAGACUUCCCUCGGGACUUGAUCCCGCUAAAGGGUCGUGGAAGACCACCACGUUGAUAGGUCGGGUGUGGAAGCGCAGUAAUGCGUUAAGCUAACCGAUACUAAUUGCCCGUGCGGCUUGAUCCU